rnacentral:lncRNA from 1 species
GCAUGUAUAAUUAAUUUGUCAAAAAUUUAAUGUAUAUCCUAUAAGCUGUACUUGCUUUUGGAAUAAAGUAUUAUUAUUAUUAUUAUAUAGAGGAAACGUGCGUCUGGCGUGCUAAAUUCUAAACCUGGUAUAUUUGAUGAGUUGUUGGCUACAUAUAGAAAUGCCUGUACCAAGUCAGGAAUCUGAUAAUUCUUUUCCAUUCGUU